UUUCCAUUCACGGAAUUCGAGUACAGUAAAAGCCAUCAGGAUGACACACGCGAAAAACAUUUAAUUAAAGGCGAUUUCCGAAGAGUGAACACACCGAGCCGCCUUGGAGCGGGAGGGUGGGCGAAAACCGGGGUUGGAGCGGGAGGGGUGGGCGCAGCGAGGGCCGCGAGUGAAGGGAGAGGGAUCAAGGCUGGGGGCCCGGACCUCCGGACCUCAGGCCACCUCGGUGACUUUACAAUCUCCAGACACAGACAUUUCUCUCAGAAGUGGAGUGAAGGAAGGAGAACCACAAGCUAAAGUGUGUUUCGCUGGGUGAAGUAUUUUGGGGAAAAGAUAAGCAUGGUGAAAUAGGGGAAUGGAGCAGUGCAUACAGAAAUUCAGAAUGCCUGUCUGGGGCUGGGGAGGGGGGAGGCUGUGAAUGAAGGAAGGGGAUCUUUAGAGGGAAAAGAGCCUUCCGUGCAAAAAAGAAAAUGAAAUUAGAAUUGACUCUGAACUGUCUGGGAAUGUGCCUUUCUAAUUUUAAAUUAUCUUUAACAAGGGCAAUGGAAAGAGGGAAAGUUAGCACUUUGAGAAGUUGUGAUGAACUUGUCGAGAAUGCCAAUUGACAAAGGCAGGUAAGGGAAUACUUGGGAAAACAGAACCGGACGAGGGCUGAAGGGCAUGGUGAUCUGCUUCCUAGUGUGUGAAAGAAAUCAGCAUGUUUAUUGACUCUUCCAAAUAGUUUUAAAGAAACCUGAAGAAAUGGACACAGACAGAGAAAAGACAGUCAGAUGUGAGUCUGCCCUCCAGAAGCAAAGAGGCUUCCAUCAUCCCAUACGAUCAAUGCCAGUCAUGGGGAAGGAGCCACUGUAUAGAAGUUAAUGGAUUUUCAACAUACAGAUCACAGAAGACACAAGAUAUAUUUAGCAAGUGUAAAAACUCUUCAGUAAACUGCCUUGCUUUUCGUUUUCACUGCACAGUAAUAAACCCAGCACAUGGUAAGAAGGCCACAGUAACCAUAUAGCAUGUAGUCCUAGGAACAUUUGUGUGAUGGGGCCAUGAUGUCUGGAAGGACAGGGCAACAGGGAGGGUGAACUGCCCAUAACUCUCAAUUGUCCAGGUAAUGAAGCAUUGGGAAAGCAGAGGCAAAUGAAAUACUCCGAUAAUCAAAAAUGAUUCUUCUUUUGGUGACCGUGUUAGUUGACAGGUGAUGACAAGUGAGAAAUUGCCAGAGGUGUGUGUUACCAUUUCUGGCGCUCACGGGCCCCUUCUGAUGAACACGGUUAUGUAAAGAGUGGACAGUUUCUAUAGGCCGGGCUGUCCGCCCAGAAGAUGUAAACCUUCACAGUGUAAAGGAUGAAGGUUGACCAUCAUGGAGGUUCUGCAACUUCCUUGAGGCCCUGCAGAGGAUCAGGGAGGAAGCUGAUGCUACUCUGAAAGGGCUCUUGAAAUUUCUCAUCUGGAGCUUGGGGGUGUAAGUUAGAUUUGUAGUGCUUACUCUAUCUAUAUGAUAAUAGAUAAUAGACAGAGAUAGAUACAGAAAUACGGUGCUGCCACGACUCAUGUUUUAUUAGAAUAAAGCCUGUCAGAGCCAGAAGGGGUCUAUGAAUCAUCUGGCCUAGCCUCUUGUCUAAACCGAUACCUAGAGAUCUAAUUGUGUGAGCUCCCAUUCCUAGUACGCAGCAAGGCUGUGCCUGCAACACUAGUCUUCUGCUUCCUUACCUAAUAAUUAGUUCCUUCCACUUUUGUGCUGUGCCAGGAUGCUCAGGUUCCAAUAAGCUACAACAUCAAGUUCCCGUCUCCCAGGAAAAGCCCCCGAGGA